ACGUUCAGUAUGAAGAACAACAUGUGGCAUUGUCCAUGUGCUAAGCCACAUAUGUCAUGUCCUCAUAAGAACAUUGCAAAGUGGCACAUCUUUCAAAUUAACAGGAACUUGUUCAGAACACAGUUGGAUUCAAAGCCUGACACAGCUUCACAGUCCAAACAGGAACAGGCAACAGAGGACUUGAAGAGGGCAGUGAAAUACAUUUAUGAAAGAAAAAAAAUUCCAGCAAGUCUUCCAGAGGACACAACAACUGCAAAACCACCAUCAGACUACCCAUCAGAUUUAAUUCCAGCGGAGACUUCAUGUGUCCUUUGCUCAAGCAGUCCAAAGUUUGACAUGCCAGUGAAUAUUACAAAUAUGGCCAAAAUAGUAACAACCCUUGGAAUUGCUGAAAAUAUUUCAACCUACUUUAAGAGAUGUCCUGAGUGUCAGAUGACUUACCGUUAUCAGGAGUGGCAAGAUGGACUUCAUAACUUUGAUGAUCAUCUUGUGUUGAGCCUUGAACUAUGUCUUUAUUUAAGACACAGUCUUCAGAACCACAUUUCUGUUUCAAGGGCUAUCGAUACUCUGCAAAAUUUGCGGAAAAAACAGUUUCCACCGACAGACAGGAUUUUGCAUGCCUACUGCCACUUUGAGGCACUAACCAGCACAGAUUACACAUAUGCUUGUGUUCUGUGUGGCUACUGGCCUUCUGUUGUGGUGAUGGACCUGCAUAAAAAGGCUGUUUUUAAUUUGGCUGUCAGUGAUCUCAAAGAUCCACCUGUCAACUAUACUGGUGAGCAAAGCAUUGUGGAUUUCUGGGAUGCUAUC